AGCAUAUCAAUAAGCGGAGGAAAAGAAACCAACAGGGAUUGCCCUAGUAACGGCGAGUGAAGCGGCAACAGCUCAAAUUUGAAAUCUGGCCCUUUCAGGGUCCGAGUUGUAAUUUGUAGAGGGCGCUUUGGUGUUGGCUGCGGUCUAAGUUCCUUGGAACAGGACGUCACAGAGGGUGAGAAUCCCGUACGUGGUCGACAGUCUUCACCGUGUAAAGCCCCUUCGACGAGUCGAGUUGUUUGGGAAUGCAGCUCUAAAUGGGAGGUAAAUUUCUUCUAAAGCUAAAUAUUGGCCAGAGACCGAUAGCGCACAAGUAGAGUGAUCGAAAGAUGAAAAGCACUUUGGAAAGAGAGUCAAAAAGCACGUGAAAUUGUUGAAAGGGAAGCGCUUGCAAUCAGACUUGCCUGUAGUUGCUCAUCUGGACUCUUGUCCGGUGCACUCUUCUGCGGGCAGGCCAGCAUCAGUUCAGGCGGCUGGAUAAAGGCCUCUAUCACGUAUCUUCCUUCGGGAUGACCUUAUAGGGGAGGUGUAAUGCAGCCAGCCUGGAUUGAGGUCCGCGCAUCUGCUAGGAUGCUGGCGUAAUGAUUGUAAGCGGCCCGUCUUGAAACACGGACCAAGGAGUCUAACAUCUAUGCGAGUGUUUGGGUGUCAAGCCCGGACGCGCAAUGAAAGUGAACGGAGGUGGGAACCCUCACGGGUGCACCAUCGACCGAUCCUGAUGUCUUCGGAUGGAUUUGAGUAAGAGCAUAGCUGUUGGGACCCGAAAGAUGGUGAACUAUGCCUGAAUAGGGUGAAGCCAGAGGAAACUCUGGUGGAGGCUCGCAGCGGUUCUGACGUGCAAAUCGAUCGUCAAAUUUGGGCAUAGGGGCGAAAGACUAAUCGAACUAUCUAGUAGCUGGUUCCUGCCG
rnacentral:rRNA from 1 species